GUCUGUAGCUCAGUUGGAUAGAGCAACGGCCUUCUAAGCCGUGGGUCGGGGGUUCGAAUCCCUUCAGG
rnacentral:tRNA from 1 species